rnacentral:rRNA from 1 species
GGGUUGUGAGGUUAAGCGACUAAGCGUACACGGUGGAUGCCCUGGCAGUCAGAGGCGAUGAAGGACGUGCUAAUCUGCGAUAAGCGUCGGUAAGGUGAUAUGAACCGUUAUAACCGGCGAUUUCCGAAUGGGGAAACCCAGUGUGUUUCGACACACUAUCAUUAACUGAAUCCAUAGGUUAAUGAGGCGAACCGGGGGAACUGAAACAUCUAAGUACCCCGAGGAAAAGAAAUCAACCGAGAUUCCCCCAGUAGCGGCGAGCGAACGGGGAGCAGCCCAGAGCCUGAAUCAGUGUGUGUGUUAGUGGAAGCGUCUGGAAAGGCGCGCGAUACAGGGUGACAGCCCCGUACACAAAAAUACACAUACUGUGAGCUCGAUGAGUAGGGCGGGACACGUGGUAUCCUGUCUGAAUAUGGGGGGACCAUCCUCCAAGGCUAAAUACUCCUGACUGACCGAUAGUGAACCAGUACCGUGAGGGAAAGGCGAAAAGAACCCCGGCGAGGGGAGUGAAAAAGAACCUGAAACCGUGUACGUACAAGCAGUGGGAGCACGCUUAGGCGUGUGACUGCGUACCUUUUGUAUAAUGGGUCAGCGACUUAUAUUCUGUAGCAAGGUUAACCGAAUAGGGGAGCCGAAGGGAAACCGAGUCUUAACUGGGCGUUAAGUUGCAGGGUAUAGACCCGAAACCCGGUGAUCUAGCCAUGGGCAGGUUGAAGGUUGGGUAACACUAACUGGAGGACCGAACCGACUAAUGUUGAAAAAUUAGCGGAUGACUUGUGGCUGGGGGUGAAAGGCCAAUCAAACCGGGAGAUAGCUGGUUCUCCCCGAAAGCUAUUUAGGUAGCGCCUCGUGAAUUCAUCUCCGGGGGUAGAGCACUGUUUCGGCAAGGGGGUCAUCCCGACUUACCAACCCGAUGCAAACUGCGAAUACCGGAGAAUGUUAUCACGGGAGACACACGGCGGGUGCUAACGUCCGUCGUGAAGAGGGAAACAACCCAGACCGCCAGCUAAGGUCCCAAAGUCAUGGUUAAGUGGGAAACGAUGUGGGAAGGCCCAGACAGCCAGGAUGUUGGCUUAGAAGCAGCCAUCAUUUAAAGAAAGCGUAAUAGCUCACUGGUCGAGUCGGCCUGCGCGGAAGAUGUAACGGGGCUAAACCAUG